CGUGUGUGUGUGUGUGUGUGUGUGUGUGUGUGUCGUUGUGUUUAAAAUGCAGAGCAGCAGCUCUGGUGGAGACACUUCAGCACGUUCCUCAUCAUCCACCGAUACUUGAGCUGCUCAGAGACGGACCACACACACACACACACACACACACACACACA
rnacentral:miRNA from 14 species